AUGAUCCGCCUCCGCAGCUGCGUCCUCACCCGCCUCCUCUCCUCGCCCUCCGCACCGCCCACUCCAUUCCGCCCCCACCGCCUCCUCUCCGCGGCCCCGCUAGCCGUUUCCCCAAACCCUAGCUUCGCCGUCGAGGACUACCUCGUCGCCGCCUGCGGCCUCACCCGACCACAGGCCGUCAAGGCCUCCGCCAAGCUCCCCCGCCUCAAGUCCCCCGCCAACCCCGACGCCGUGCUCGCCUUCCUCGCCGGCCUCGGCCUCUCCGCCGCCGAUGUCGCCGCGGUCGUCGCCAGGGACCCCAGGUCACUCUGCGCCAGCGUGGAGAGAACCCUGGCGCCCGUCGUCGUCGGGCUCUCUGACCUCGGGCUAUCGCGCUCCGACAUUGCGCGCCUUGCCUCGCUCGCCGUCCACAGAUUCCGCAAAGAAGACACAGUCUCCAAGCUGCAGUACUACCUGCACCUUUUCGGCUCCUCGGAGAACCUCCUACGGGCCAUGAAGUUCUGCGAUUUCCUCUCGCACAGCCUCGAGAGGGUGGUCAAGCCCAAUGUCGUCUUCCUGCGUGAGUGCGGGUUAGGUGCUUGCGAUAUUGCCAAGCUGUGCAUCCAAAGACCGAGGAUGAUCACCGCCAACCUGCAGCAUCUCCAGGCGAUGGUGGCAUGCGCCGAAAACAUAGGUGUGCCCCGUGGUUCUGGGAUGUUCAGGCACGCGCUGCAUGCCGUUGCGUUCAUGAGCGAGGCGGAGAUUACAGCCAGAGUGGAGUACCUGAAGAGCACCUUCACGUGGACCGAUGCUGAGGUGGGCAUUGCUGUUUCUAGGGCUCCAUUGAUGCUGACAAGGUCCAAGGAAUCGCUGCAGCGUAGGUCUGAGUUCUUUAUCUCCGAGGUGGGCUUGGAACCGUCCUACAUUGCUCAGCAGUCGGUAUUACUCGGUUACAGCCUAGAGGCCCGGCUCAGGCCCCGGUACUACGCUGUAAAGUUUCUCAAGGAAAAUGGAUUGCUCAAGCGCGACCCGAGCUACUGUACUGUUUUCAAGGAGACUGAGAAGGUAUUCAGGGAGAAUUUUAUAUGCCCUCACAAGGAAGCUGCACCACACCUCGAAGAGGACUAUGAUGCCGCCUGUAAAGGAGAAGUGCCGACUAAUUUCAGAUUCACAUGA
rnacentral:rRNA from 1 species